GCGCACAGGAAGAAAGAGGUCCACCGCUACGUGGUUUUUAGCCCAUCUAAGAUCUAAAUUGCUGUCUGGAAAUGGGCUCUUGUGCUUUCACUGAGAGGAUGGCCAAGCACGUUUGGAGAGGACGGAGGUGCCCUUGGCUCCACUAAAAACAUUAUAUAAUCAUCUCAACAAGAUAUUGUAAUGCCAAGAAAAGAUCGAUACAUUGAUGAGUAGCUGCUGGCUCAAAACCAAAACUACUUGGAACAUUUUCCAAAGCAUUUUCCAUGGUGUGAAACUUAAGGGAUCUGAUUUGUCUCUCUGCGUAGGGAACUGAAUUGACUCAUCAGUAAAAAUGUGUUUGUCGACUUCAGCUAACAAGAAGCAUUGCACUUUCUGCCCAGAUGCCUAUGAAGAUUUGGAGCCUGGAAAGUCCUCAGGUGAAGCACAAAGGCAAGUGAAGAGGAACUUUCAAGAAAGUCGAGUCUCAAUGAUCUAAGGCUACUUUACUUCAAAAUGACAGUGUUCACAAAGAAGAUGGAGUUUAAUGUGUCUUAUUAAUUUUUUCAGUUUAGACAAAUGUCUUUGCCCUUCUGAACAUCCUUUUUCCUCAUAUAAUAACUGUGCUAUUUGUUAAAUAUUGGAUACAUCUUAACACAUACCUUGCUCUUGUAAGAGGAUGGACCUCAAGAUCCAUCUUCAGCUGAAAUUAGUUGUAGUCCUGGGGAUGUACGGAACAAAGCAUGAGCUUGCAAAAAUCAGGUCAAAAGCAGAAGAUCUCUUCCAAGGUACUGAGAGACUGGUGUGAAUGUUAUAGUAUUUUGUGGUACAUAUGAUAAGUGAUAGGCUCCCAAGGACAAAAAAAUCACUGGAGCAUUGAUGAACCUUGCAAAACAUAAUAUCAAGAAGGGAACAGGAGGACUUGCUGAUAAAUGGUGAUUAAGCAUUUCAGUCGCUUCUGGGUGAGCUCACUCUAGCUAUGAUCUUGGUGUGAUUGACUUUUUAGUGAGAAGCACAGUUAUAGCAUCACUGUCAUUCCAGUGACUAGGAGAAGAAACAGCUGAAAAUUAUUUUAAAUUAAAAUAUAAAUUAUGUUUACAUUUUCAUCUGAUUCAGUGUGUAUCAGCUAGAGUUUCAGUCUUGGCAGCUAUGCAAAGUCAAAAGGUUUUUUAAAGGAUGUAUAAUCUUUACAUUUACAUUCUGUACAUUCUUGUGCUGUUUAUGUUUUCUGAGUUAUUAAUGAACAUUUAUAGACCACAGAUAUGUUCACUGAUUCAUUUUAAAAUGAAGUGAUUUGAGUUUCUUGGAUGAUAUUGCUGGUCAGGUAAUUUCUAUUUUAUUGUAUUGAAGAUGAUAAAGACCACAGGUGCUGCCUACACAGAUGCUUCCAUGGUUGUCUAAGUAAAUAAUAUAUCUGUUUUUAUGUGCUAGGUUAAUUAGUCCAACUAAGCAUAUCUUAGGUAAUAGCUCAUCUGGAGCAUCAUGCAGAAUAAUGGGGG
rnacentral:lncRNA from 1 species